CCUACGUGUGGCUGCAGUGGGGAAUAUUGGACAAUGGGGGCAACCCUGAUCCAGCCAUGCCGCGUGUGUGAAGAAGGCCCUCGGGUUGUAAAGCACUUUCAGUGAGGAAGAACGCCUGGUGGUUAAUACCCAUCAGGAAAGACAUCACUCACAGAAGAAGCACCGGCUAACUCCGUGCCAGCAGCCGCGGUAAUACGGAGGGUGCGAGCGUUAAUCGGAAUUACUGGGCGUAAAGCGCGCGUAGGUGGCUUGAUAAGCCGGUUGUGAAAGCCCCGGGCUCAACCUGGGAACGGCAUCCGGAACUGUCAAGCUAGAGUGCAGGAGAGGAAGGUAGAAUUCCCGGUGUAGCGGUGAAAUGCGUAGAGAUCGGGAGGAAUACCAGUGGCGAAGGCGGCCUUCUGGACUGACACUGACACUGAGGUGCGAAAGCGUGGGUAGCAAACAGGAUUAGAUACCCUAGUAGUC
rnacentral:rRNA from 1 species